rnacentral:snRNA from 1 species
GUGGAUGAGGGCCAGUGAACCAAGGCUGUUACNUCUUGUCACCAAAUUGAUCACCAGAGUUGAUUCAGUUGAUCUGACUAAUGUCCCCUUCUUCCCUCACUGCUGCAUGUGCAUCCCUUCGGAACCUACACAUUCAGUGGAAGAAAACAUCCAUCCUCAACUGAGGGCCAGUACUGUUCUUCAGUCAAGGGAACGUCAAGAAAAUGGAAGCCCUCUGUCUGAGAAACAGAGGUUUUCCAGUUCAUGAUGGGAUGGUGCUCUUUCCAAGGGAGCAGGCUGUCACUG